rnacentral:rRNA from 1 species
GUGCACCAGGCGCGAAACUUUACAAUGUGCGAAAGCACGAUAAGGGAACUCUGAGUGCCUCCUAAGGAGGCUGUUCAGGUGUCUAAAAGCACCUGAAGGAAGGGCUGGGUAAGACCGGUGCCAGCCGCCGCGGUAACACCGGCAGCCCAAGUGGUAGCCACGUUUAUUGGGUCUAAAGCGUCCGUAGCCGGCUGGGUAAGUUCCUUGGGAAAUUUGGCUGCUUAACAGUCAAGCUUUCAGGGAAUACUGCCCGGCUUGGGACCGGGAGAGGUCAGAGGUACUCCAGGGGUAGGGGUGAAAUCCAUUAAUCCUUGGGGGACCACCGGUAGCGAAGGCGUCUGACCAGACCGGGUCCGACGGUGAGGGACGAAGGCUAGGGGGCGCGAACCGGAUUAGAUA